rnacentral:rRNA from 1 species
UACGUAGGGUGCAAGCGUUGUCCGGAAUUAUUGGGCGUAAAGAGCUCGUAGGCGGUCUGUCGCGUCGGCUGUGAAAACUCGGGGCUCAACUCCGAGCUUGCAGUCGAUACGGGCAGGCUAGAGUUCGGCAGGGGAGACUGGAAUUCCUGGUGUAGCGGUGAAAUGCGCAGAUAUCAGGAAGAACACCCGUGGCGAAAGCGGCUCUCUGGAACGGUACUGACGCUGAGACGCGAAAGCGUGGGGAGCGAACAGG